rnacentral:ribozyme from 10 species
UAGUCUUUUUUUUUUUUUUCUUUCUUUUUUUUGUCGUCCGCCUUUUCCUUUC